rnacentral:rRNA from 1 species
GAGACAGCAGUCGCCGCGGUAAAACGUAGGUGGCAAGCGUUGUCCGGAAUUAUUGGGCGUAAAGCGCGCGCAGGCGGAUCAGUUAGUCUGUCUUAAAAGUUCGGGGCUUAACCCCGUGAGGGGAUGGAAACUGCUGAUCUAGAGUAUCGGAGAGGAAAGUGGAAUUCCUAGUGUAGCGGUGAAAUGCGUAGAUAUUAGGAAGAACACCAGUGGCGAAGGCGACUUUCUGGACGAAAACUGACGCUGAGGCGCGAAAGCCAGGGGAGCGAACAGGAUUAGAUACCCCAGUAGUCCCUGUCUCUUAUACA